CAAGGUCUUGGUGUCUUAAUGUGGUAGUUUGGAGGGAUUAUAGAUCAUUUGUAUCAAUUCUCAAGAGGUAAAAAAAAGGUUAAAUUUAGCAGCAAAUCUGUGUAACAAAGGGUAUCAACCCCAAAAUUGCUGCACCAACUUAUGAGACAUAAUAGAGCAUGGGAAUGACCAUCAUAUACUGUACUUCUAGCAUACUGUACUAAGUAAGUCCUUAUACACUUUAAAUAUUUAUUUUAAUUAAUUAUUUAAUUAAUCA